UACGGAGGGUGCAAGCGUUGUCCGGAUUUAUUGGGUUUAAAGGGUGCGUAGGCGGCUCAUUAAGUCUGGGGUGAAAAGCCCGUUGCUCAACAACGGAACUGCCCUGGAAACUGGUGAGCUUGAGUACAGACGAGGGUGGCGGAAUGGAUGCUGUAGCGGGUGAAAAUGCAUAGAUAGCAUCCAGAACCCCCGAUUGCGAAGCAGACGUGCC
rnacentral:rRNA from 1 species